rnacentral:rRNA from 1 species
UCCCAGACUCCUACGGGAGGCAGCAGUGAGGAAUAUUGGUCAAUGGCCGAGAGGCUGAACCAGCCAAGUCGCGUGAGGGAAGAAUGUCCUAUGGAUUGUAAACCUCUUUUGUCAGGGAGCAAAGUCACCCACGUGUGGGUGUUGGAGAGUACCUGAAGAAAAAGCAUCGGCUAACUCCGUGCCAGCAGCCGCGGUAAUACGGAGGAUGCGAGCGUUAUCCGGAUUUAUUGGGUUUAAAGGGUGCGUAGGCGGGCUUUUAAGUCAGCGGUAAAAAUUCGGGGCUCAACCCCGUCCGGCCGUUGAAACUGGGGGCCUUGAGUGGGCGAGAAGAAGGCGGAAUGCGUGGUGUAGCGGUGAAAUGCAUAGAUAUCACGCAGAACCCCGAUUGCGAAGGCAGCCUUCCGGCGCCCUACUGACGCUGAGGCACGAAAGUGCGGGGAUCGAACAGGAUUAGAUACCCGAGUACC